CGGGGGGAGCAAGCGUUGUUCGGAUUUAAUGGGCGUAAAGGGCGCGUAGGCGGCCACUGCAAGUCGGUUGUGAAAUCUCCGGGCUUAACCCGGAAAGGUCAAUCGAUACUGCAGGGCUAGAGUGCAGAAGGGGCAACUGGAAUUCUCGGUGUAGCGGUGAAAUGCGUAGAUAUCGAGAGGAACACCUGCGGCGAAGGCGGGUUGCUGGGCUGACACUGACGCUGACAGCGCGAAAGCUAGGGGAGCGAACGGGAUUAGAUACCCCGGUAGUCCUAGCCUUAAACGAUGAAUGCUUGGUGUCUGGGGUUUUAUAGUCCCCGGGUGCCGUCGCUAACGCUUUAAGCAUUCCGCCUGGGGAGUACGGUCGCAAGACUG
rnacentral:rRNA from 1 species